UCUUUUGAUGCGUAGUAAUAUAAUGGAGAAGAGUUAGGUUUUAAGGAAGAGGAAAAUUUUUUCUUUUCCCUAAUAAUUGAUGAAUUUUUUGUAAUUAAACAUACCUAUAAAAUCUGAUGUGAAAUAUGAAAUAAUAGGGGUAUGUAUUAAGAGAUUCGAGGUGUGUAUUUAAAAUUUCUCAUCUAUAUUUUGGGGAAUCUUUUUUUUUUUUUGAAAACAUAAAGGAAAUAAGUUGGGGCGGGAGGAUGAAUUGGUGUCAUGGUGUGUCAUUGUCGCAUUUCUAUAAGCUCGAUCAUUGACAUAAAGGGAAAAUUUCUAUUCCCACAAAAACAAAAAACUCACGUACACCCAAAUAAUCCAAUGACACAAAAACUUUAUAGCCCCUUCCAACAAAACUAAAGAAAAAGGCGAAGCCUAGCCUACUGCCUACUAACUAAUAUCACAUCCUUUUAUCUUCCGGAUCUCAGAUUUCUCAUAUCCACUCUCUCUCUCUC
rnacentral:lncRNA from 1 species